UGCUUAUAUUGAGCAGCACCCUGCAUAGGUUAAAAAGAAAUCUGCGAAUCAUUCACACUCACUCAUGAAAUAUAUUUUUUCCUUAGGCCUUACUAGUGGACUCAGACUCGCUGCUCAUUGCAAGUCUGACAAGUCUGGUUCAUUUGAGAGGCAGAAGAAGGAGCAGUGGGCUUGGCUGCGGUCGUAAUGCAAGGAGGCUACAAAGCUCCUGUGGAGUGUCCUUCAGCUUCAGAACAAGAGCCUCAUAGUAGCCCCGCAUUGGAGUAUUUGUGCAUCAAGAGGACAAACAAGUGCCCCUGAACGGGGCUCUGACAGCGAGAAAUUUGGAGGUUGUGGCUAGUGAUUAUUGCUUAAAGAGCCUCCAAGGAACUGCUCAUAUCAGUGUACGCUUGGAUACCUCACCACUCAGAACCUACCUCAAGUCAGCGGCGAAUGUGUCAUCACUGAAAGCAAGCUCAUGAGCCGAAAUCCUCGCAAGAAAACUAGACUAAAGAGAGACUAUUGAUUUUCAAGCUACCCACAUCCAGUCGUAAGAAGCAAUACAGUUGCCAUAGUGACAACUCCAUGCACCAUCAAUAUGCCAGCUGGACAAACGGAAGCCUUUUACUGAAAAACAGUGAAAGAGUACGGUAUGUUCAAUCUGUACAAUGUUGGGUGCACAGAUUGUUGUUUCUUUAUGAAUUACUGAGUUUACAGGAAAUGUGUAGGCUUCAAAACUCUUUAACAGUGCUUGUCAUGGGCUGCACAUACUGUACUUCACUCUACGUGUCAAAUUUGCAUAGAGUAUCACAUAUAACUAGGUAACAAAUGGGCUUGUAGUAGUGCAUAUUUAGAAGCACUUCUUUUUCACAUUUUGUAUAGAUUGCUGUGAAUGUAAAGACUGUUGCAAGACAGUGGUAGGUACAGCUAGAGUAGUGUUGAAACAGUUACUGAUACCGCAUGCAUGUUGGGACUGACACUAUCAAAGUUCUAAAAAAAAACCGUGCAAG